rnacentral:rRNA from 1 species
UACGGGGGGUGCGAGCGUUGUUCGGAAUCACUGGGCUUAAAGGGCGCGUAGGCGGACGACCAAGUCAGAGGUGAAAUCCCGCGGCUCAACCGCGGAAGUGCCCCUGAUACUGGUUGUCUCGAGGGAGGUAGGGGCGUGCGGAACUUCCGGUGGAGCGGUGAAAUGCGUAGAUAUCGGAAGGAACGCCGGUGGCGAAAGCGGCGCGCUGGACCUCUUCUGACGCUGAGGCGCGAAAGCCAGGGGAGCAAACGGG